CUGUGAGGGAGUAGCCCUGCAGUGGAUGGAGAGGAGAAGCAUAAUAGAAAAACUCAUUUGAAGGGAACUCAGGAGCCCAGGACCACAUUAAGCUCAGCUGCCGGCCUGAAUGAAAGAUCAUGUCGAACUCGUCACACACUUCUGAUGUGAGACUGAUAGAGGUUGGAGCACAGCCACUCGCUGUCAGGUCCCAGCUAAUGGAAUCAACAUGGUUGACGGAUAAACCCACCGAAAAUAAGUUGUCAGAGUGCUGCAGGCCCUUCAUCAACCUCCCUGCCAUGUGUGCCGCUGACUUGACCCCUCCCAAUGCCAUAUCAGGAGGGUGUUUUAUCUUCAGCAUGCUGAAAUUAGAGAGCUGCCUGGAAAUGGGUCAGUAUUAACGACUGACCAGGCAGGCCAUUGUGCUGCAUGCCACAACAAGCCCAGACCACAUUAGGCUGCUGAGACAGGGGGUGAUGGAGGAGGUGGAUAAUUCACUGCGAGCAGGGGAGAGCCACAGCACAGCCACGUACCACUAAUGGUGCUGAGGAGUGCAGCAACACUCCACACGUCCCCUUUUCCAAUGCUUUCAUCUGCUUCAGGGCCGAGAGCAAGCGGCAACAGGGAAUGUUGACCCUUAACACUGACAGGUCAGGUGUGUGUCUGUAUCUUUCCGUCUGUGUUUGUUGUACUGCAAACAAAUCCAACUGUAAAACACCUCUGCCCUCAACUAUGCACAUGAAAGCAGUCAUUUGCAGGUUUAAUGAUGAAUACUUACUGAAAUAUUAGCAAAAUGUCUAACAUGGAUCCUUUUGGUGAUGUCAACUUUGCAGAAAGCCAGCUCAGCUUGCAUUGACAUAGUUGCUAUGUUCUAUGGUGAUGGCCAAAGGUUGCAAUUAAACUGCCAGUUGAUUCUGUAAUAAUGGAAACAUACUUUCUGUAAGUGUCAAAUAUCUAAAUUCUGAAAAUUACUUAUCUAAUUACUUAAAAAUUAGUAAAUCAGAUCCAGUAUUUUCAAUUACAAUCAGUGAUAUUUCAUUAUUUGCUCAUCAUAGUAACUGAACUAAAAUAUGCCCUGUACAAUAUUGCUAUAUACAGAAAAGCUUUGUAUUUUGUUAGUGACACUACAUUUUUAAAUUUGAGUUAAUGCCUUCUAGACAACAAUAAACAACACCUCUGCUUUUUGUUUCUAUGCCCUAAUAGCUGCCAAACUGUGCAUGCUCUCCCUCUCCCUAGCCUCUCCUCCUUCUUGCUUGCACUCAGGCGUCUCUGUGCUGGACCAUCGGCCGUCCUGGGAACUCUCUCCCUCCUGGCUGUCGGCGCCUCAUCCAGUCGUUGAUCUGGAUCUUCGUACACCAAGAGAUUCAGCCUCUCCCCUUCUCUCCCUCUCUCCCUAGUUUGGAUGUUGUCAUGGCUCUCUCUCUACCUCUGUGUGAAUGCUGUUGUCCUCUUUUGUGUUUGUGUGGCCUUUCCUCUUUCCAGGUCUCUGUGGUGGAGAGGAGGCGGUGUGGCUCAGAUCCCACUUAGUGGGCGACACCUGAAGUUGCUCAAUUGUCCUCCUGGAUCCAUCCUCUUCACUACUUUACUUCAUCUACAUUUUGUUAUGAUAAUUGUAUAUUGUCAUGUAUGACUUUCUGUUGUGAAUCGAUUCUAUACACGCAGCAUCUAUUGCAUGUCUGUCCAUCCUGGGAGGGGGAUCCCGCCUCUGUGCUGCUUUUGCUGAGGUUUCUCCCAUUUUUCCCCCCCCCGUUAUAAAAGGUAGACUUGAGCUGGUCAGCCGAUAUUUGCCUUCCACAGAUAUAUCAGUAUCAGCGUGAACGUUAUCCAAUAUGAGCCAAAUAAAACUGCUUUCUUUCAGUAUAUUAGGCAGAACGGAAGGUCUGUGUUAAUUUAUUGGUAUCAUUACAACGUUCAUCAAGCACAGUGAAGUCAUCCCAGUGGUAAGCAGUAUAACAAUAACAGCAUAAUAACAGCUCACAAGAACUAGCUUCAACAGUAAAAAUAUAGCUGGUCUCAUGAAAUGUACUUCACUCACUAAUGGUUAAAACAACAAACCAGCACAAAAAUUAAAACUGCCAUCAUAACCCACCAUGUUCUGAACAGAUAGAUUACAAACACUAACAAAAAGUAACAUUUGCAUUUUGGAACAUAAGGCAACUAACUUAAUAAACUGUUUUCAGCACUCAGAAGUGCAUGCUGGGAAAUAUUGGCCGUCGCUAUUGGUACAGCACUCUCAGCACCUUGCAGCAGACGUAGUCUUUAUUUUCUCAGUGUUCAUUUCUAGAAUUGGUUGACAGUGUAUAUGAUAUUAACAUGUUAAAGAAUAUUAAAUUUAAAUAUUCUUUAAUAAAGUUAUUUGUUUAAGAAAGCACCUUUAUAUAGGCACAAUCGGUGCACAAUCCACAUAGAAACAGGUCUAUUUUCCUUCCAGCUCAAAAAUGCAAUAUAUCGGCUGCCAUAUUGUUAAUAAGUGAGUGUUUCCCCUCAAAAAUUGGUAUCUGUCUCAAAAAUCCCAUAUCAGUGGGCUCUAGAACAAACAGCACUAAACUUUGUUGCUCAUUUUUAUUGUGUUGUGUUUAUUGUUUUUGCUGUGUUUUGAUGUGACAAAAACACAUUUCUUGCCCUGUUGGGACAAUAAA